AUUGAACGCUGGCGGCAGGCUUAACACAUGCAAGUCGAGCGAGCGGCGGACGGGUGAGUAAUGUCUGGGAAACUGCCUGAUGGAGGGGGAUAACUACUGGAAACGGUAGCUAAUACCGCAUACCAUCAGAUGUGCCCAGAUGGGAUUAGCUAGUAGGUGGGGUAAUGGCUCACCUAGGCGACGAUCCCUAGCUGGUCUGAGAGGCUGACCAGCCACACGGGAACGGAGGCACGGUCCAGAGUCCGAGGGGAGGCAGCAGUGGGGAAUAUUGCACAAUGGGCGCAAGCCUGAGGCAGCCAUGCGGGGUGUGUGAAGAAGGCCUUCGGGUUGUAAAGGACUUUCAGCGGGGAGGCGUUACUCGCAGAAGAAGCACCGGCUAACUCCGUGCCAGCAGCCGCGGUAAUAC
rnacentral:rRNA from 1 species